GAUGAACGCUAGCUACAGGCUUAACACAUGCAAGUCGCGGGGCAGCAUGGGGGUUGCUUGCAAUCCCCGAUGGCGACCGGCGCACGGGUGAGUAACGCGUAUCCAACCUGCCCUUCACCACGGGAUAACCCGGCGAAAGUCGGACUAAUACCGUAUGUUGUCCAUUGACGGCAUCCGAUAUCGUCGAAAGGUUUGGCGGUGAAGGAUGGGGAUGCGUCCGAUUAGCUGGACGGCGGGGUGACGGCCCACCGUGGCGACGAGCGGUAGGGGUUCUGAGAGGAAGGUCCCCCAGACUGGAACUGAGACACGGUCCAGACUCCUACGGGAGGCAGCAGUGAGGAAGAUUGGUCGAUGGGCGUAAGCCUGAACCAGCCAAGUAGCGUGCAGGAUGACGGCCCUAUGGGUUGUAAACUGCUUUUAUGCGGGGAUAAAGUGGCCCACGUGUGGGUUUUUGCAGGUACCGCAUGAAUAAGGACCGGCUAAUUCCGUG
rnacentral:rRNA from 1 species